CAGCAGCCGCGGUAAUACGUAGGGUCCGAGCGUUGUCCGGAAUUAUUGGGCGUAAAGGGCUCGUAGGCGGUUUGUCACGUCGGGAGUGAAAACUCAGGGCUCAACCCUGAGCGUGCUUCCGAUACGGGCAGACUAGAGGUAUGCAGGGGAGAACGGAAUUCCUGGUGUAGCGGUGGAAUACGCAGAUAUCAGGAGGAACACCGGUGGCGAAGGCGGUUCUCUGGGCAUUACCUGACGCUGAGGAGCGAAAGCAUGGGGAGCGAACAGGAUUAGAGACCCCGGUAGUCCCUGUCUCUUAUAC
rnacentral:rRNA from 1 species